UGAUAUUUUGGCGUGAAGAAGGAUGGCUUGUCUACUAGUGCGGUAGCAGGGGGUAGGAACUCAACUGCAGCCUCUGAAAGUAGAGCAGUCAGGCCGAUCUGAGGCAGGUGGCAGUAGAGUGUUUUCUUCGCUCGGUCCUGGAAUACGUAGACGUAAGGACCAUCCCGAUGGAUCCUCGAGUGGGGACCAGCUAUGAACUCCUUAUUUACUAGAGAAAUGACAUCCAGGUAGUUCCAAGCAAUGUUGUUCGAUCUGUCCAGUGCUACCUGCUGGUUCUCGCAGUCUAC
rnacentral:lncRNA from 1 species